GGGAGUGAAAUAGUACCUGAAACCAUGUGCCUACAAUCCGUUGGAGCGAGACAUUCGUGUCUUGUGACAGCGUGCCUUUUGAAGAAUGAGCCUGCGAGUUAGCGGUACGUGGCGAGGUUAACCCGUGUGGGGUAGCCGUAGCGAAAGCGAGUCCGAACAGGGCGUUUGAGUCGCGUGCUCUAGACCCGAAGCCGAGUGAUCUACCCAUGGCCAGGUUGAAGCGCGGGUAAGACCGCGUGGAGGACCGAACCCACUUCAGUAAAA
rnacentral:rRNA from 1 species